rnacentral:rRNA from 1 species
GACGAACGCUGGCGGCGUGCUUAACACAUGCAAGUCGAACGGAAAGGCCUCUUUCGGGGGGUACUCGAGUGGCGAACGGGUGAGUAACACGUGAGUAACCUGCCCUUGACUUUUGGAUAACUUCAGGAAACUGUGGCUAAUACCGGAUAGGAGCUCCUGCUGCAUGGUGGGGGUUGGAAAGUUUCGGCGGUUGGGGAUGGACUCGCGGCUUAUCAGCUUGUUGGUGGGGUAGUGGCUUACCAAGGCUUUGACGGGUAGCCGGCCUGGGAGGGUGACCGGCCACAUUGGGACUGAGAUACGGCCCAGACUCCUACGGGAGGCAGCAGUGGGGAAUAUUGCACAAUGGGUGGAAGCCUGAUGCAGCAACGCCGUGUGCGGGAUGACGGCCUUCGGGUUGUAAACCGCUUUCGCUCAUGACGAAGCUUUGUGUGACGGUAGUGGGUAAAGAAGCACCGGCUAACUACGUG